CAAGAAAUACUCAGUCCUCUCCUUCUCUUAGCCAAAUCCGUUCAAACAAAGGUGUGGGAUUCCCCUAAGGACCGACGGGUUAGAUCAGAGCAAGUUCCUCCCGGUGUCUUUAUUAGCUAGUAGGCUUAUUAGACAGGAUCUAACAGCAGGAACGAGCAAAGCGAGAGGCUGACUAAGGUCAGGGAUCUAUUCCAGAUAUUCCUUAGAGCCUUCAAGGCAAUCCGUAAAGUAAAAACCAUCCCGAGGGGAACUAAGAAAAUAAGGAGCUUUCUUGAGUCAAGUCAGUCCAUCUUCACUAUCUUCCGAAGAAUGCCUCACUUUCGAUCCGCACAUUCUAUAAAGCAUCAAGCUAGGCAUUCAAUAGUAGCUAAGAAGCCUUCAAGGCAAUCCAUGACCUACUUAUUUGCAAUCACAAUAUUUGAUUUUUCUAUGAAGUACCAAGUGGAUUAAUCGAGCGUAGGAUAACUUUUAAAAUAUAUUUUAUUAGUAUCAAAAUAUGAGAUGAUUUUCUUGGCUCUUUAAUAUCUGAUGCAUCACUAUAUUCUUUUUUAUGUGGGGGGUUUUGAUGCAAAUCUUGAUAUUAAGGCGUGAAGGUGGUUCAACAAGGCCUUGUAUGAAAGCAACUGAUGCUUUGAUCAUAUUUUUUUUUGGCGUCUGUUAACG
rnacentral:lncRNA from 1 species